AUUGAACGCUGGCGGCAUGCCUUACACAUGCAAGUCGAACGGUAACGCGGGGCAACCUGGCGACGAGUGGCGAACGGGUGAGUAAUGUAUCGGAACGUGCCCAGUUGUGGGGGAUAACUGCUCGAAAGAGCAGCUAAUACCGCAUACGACCUGAGGGUGAAAGCGGGGGAUCGCAAGACCUCGCGCAAUUGGAGCGGCCGAUAUCAGAUUAGGUAGUUGGUGGGGUAAAGGCCUACCAAGCCGACGAUCUGUAGCUGGUCUGAGAGGACGACCAGCCACACUGGGACUGAGACACGGCCCAGACUCCUACGGGAGGCAGCAGUGGGGAAUUUUGGACAAUGGGGGCAACCCUGAUCCAGCCAUGCCGCGUGCGGGAAGAAGGCCUUCGGGUUGUAAACCGCUUUUGUCAGGGAAGAAAAGACUCCUACUAAUACUGGGGGUUCAUGACGGUACCUGAAGAAUAAGCACCGGCUAACUACGUGCCAGCCGCCGCCGUAA
rnacentral:rRNA from 1 species